rnacentral:lncRNA from 1 species
GUACAAAGAAAUUAGGAUAUUUUUAUUUUUUAACUUUAUUUGUAAAAAUAAUAUUUUAAGAGUUUUAUUAGGAUUAUAUUUUAUAUUUUAUAUUUUAUCUUUUACCUUUUAUCUAUUUUAUUAGACAAUUUCUUAAUUUUAUCUUAAGGGAUUUAAUUAGGAUUAGGAUUUUAAAAUAUUGCUUUUAGAAAGACAAGUAGAAGGACAGCAUCGCUUGUUUUUUUUUUUUUUUUGCAGGAAAUACAAUUUUAAGGAAUUUUG